AUCCGNAAGCUUUAGUUGCCGAGCAUACUAAAGUUUCCCUGCAGUGGUUUAUACCUCUAAGAUACUUUCCGAACAUUGGUUCGUGAAAGUAUCGUUCACGGGACCGAUGAUCCCGAACGAGGUAUUGACUAGGGCUUACGAUUUCCUGUGGGUAUUUAAAGUACACGUGUACAUGUGAAUUUAUAAAACACGUGUAUUAAUCCGGUUAUUUAAAAACACACGUAUACUUAAUUACACGUCUACCCGUGUACCCGUGUAUUUUAAAUACCCGUAGGAAAUCGUAAGCCCUAGUAUUGACUGGGACCUGCGGGAUUGUCACACCCGAUGCUUUGGUUACUGAGUAUACCAAAGUUUCCCUGCAGGGGCUUACAAAUACAAUAAGCAUUAAAUACCGGAAAAAUAUGAAGGAAUAAAGUAAUUUCAAUUACACUGUAUCCAAAACGUUAAAUGCGGUGUGCUAAACUGUGUUUUUC